rnacentral:rRNA from 1 species
UACAGAGGUCCCAAGCGUUGUUCGGAUUCAUUGGGCGUAAAGGGUGCGUAGGCGGCGCGGUAAGUCGGGUGUGAAAUCUCGGAGCUUAACUCCGAAACUGCAUUCGAUACUGCCGUGCUUGAGGACUGGAGAGGAGACUGGAAUUUACGGUGUAGCGGUGAAAUGCGUAGAUAUCGUCAAGAACACCGAUAGCGAAGGCAGCUUACUGGGCUGUAACUGACGCUGAGGCACGAAAGUGUGGGGAUCAAACAGG